rnacentral:rRNA from 1 species
AACGAACGCUGGCGGCAUGCCUAACACAUGCAAGUCGAACGAGAUCUUCGGGUCUAGUGGCGCACGGGUGCGUAACGCGUGGGAAUCUGCCCUUUGGUUCGGAAUAACAGUUGGAAACGACUGCUAAUACCGGAUGAUGACGAAAGUCCAAAGAUUUAUCGCCAGAGGAUGAGCCCGCGUAGGAUUAGCUAGUUGGUGUGGUAAAGGCGCACCAAGGCGACGAUCCUUAGCUGGUCUGAGAGGAUGAUCAGCCACACUGGGACUGAGACAUGGCCCAAACUCCUACGGGAGGCAGCAGUGGGGAAUAUUGGACAAUGGGCGCAAGCCUGAUCCAGCCAUGCCGCGUGAGUGAUGAAGGCCCUAGGGUUGUAAAGCUCUUUUGUGCGGGAAGAUAAUGACGGUACCGCAAGAAUAAGCCCCGGCUAACUUCGUGCCAGCCGCCGCGGUAA